rnacentral:rRNA from 1 species
AUUGAACGCUGGCGGCAGGCCUAACACAUGCAAGUCGAACGAGUGGCGGACGGGUGAGUAAUGUCUGGGAAACUGCCUGAUGGAGGGGGAUAACUACUGGAAACGGUAGCUAAUACCGCAUACCAUCAGAUGUGCCCAGAUGGGAUUAGCUAGUUGGUGGGGUAACGGCUCACCAAGGCGACGAUCCCUAGCUGGUCUGAGAGGAUGACCAACCACAAUGGAACUGAGACACGGUCCAGAAACCUACGGGAGGAAGCAGUGGGGAAUAGUGCACAAUGGGCGCAAACCUGAUGCAGCCAUGCCGCGUGUAUGAAGAAGGCCAUCGGGUUGUAAAGUACUUUCAGCGGGGAGGCGUUAACCGCAGAAGAAGAACCGGCUAACUCCGUGCCAGCAGCCGCGGUAAUUA